rnacentral:rRNA from 1 species
AACGAACGCUGGCGGCAUGCCUAACACAUCCAAGUCGAACGAGACCUUCGGGUCUAGUGGCGCACGGGUGCGUAACGCGUGGGAACCUGCCCUUAGGUUCGGAAUAACUCCCCGAAAGGGGUGCUAAUAUCGGAUAAUGUCUUCGGACCAAAGAUUUAUCGCCUUUGGAUGGGCCCGCGUUGGAUUAGCUAGUUGGUAGGGUAAAAGCCUACCAAGGCGACGAUCCAUAGCUGGUCUGAGAGGAUGAUCAGCCACACUGGGACUGAGACACGGCCCAGACUCCUACGGGAGGCAGCAGUGGGGAAUAUUGGACAAUGGGCGAAAGCCUGAUCCAGCAAUGCCGCGUGAGUGAUGAAGGCCUUAGGGUUGUAAAGCUCUUUUACCCGGGAUGAUAAUGACAGUACCGGGAGAAUAAGCUCCGGCUAACUCCGUG